GCAAUAGAGGUGCAAAACACAUCAGUAACGCAUGUCAGGUCAAUCGGGGCUGUUCACCGUGCGUAAAAGGGUUUUUUGCCGAAGACAAAGGAAACCGAUUUUUGCUUUGUUUGGGUAUGUUUGCGAACAGCGGCAUAACUGUCAUCAUAAAUUUGGUGGAGUGCUAUUGU
rnacentral:ncRNA from 1 species